rnacentral:rRNA from 1 species
GACGAACGCUGGCGGCGUGCUUAACACAUGCAAGUCGAACGAAGAGCGAUGGAAGCUUGCUUCUAUCAAUCUUAGUGGCGAACGGGUGAGUAACGCGUAAUCAACCUGCCCUUCAGAGGGGGACAACAGUUGGAAACGACUGCUAAUACCGCAUACGAUCUAAUCUCGGCAUCGAGGAUAGAUGAAAGGUGGCCUCUACAUGUAAGCUAUCACUGAAGGAGGGGAUUGCGUCUGAUUAGCUAGUUGGAGGGGUAACGGCCCACCAAGGCGAUGAUCAGUAGCCGGUCUGAGAGGAUGAACGGCCACAUUGGGACUGAGACACGGCCCAGACUCCUACGGGAGGCAGCAGUGGGGAAUCUUCCGCAAUGGACGAAAGUCUGACGGAGCAACGCCGCGUGAGUGAUGACGGCCUUCGGGUUGUAAAGCUCUGUUAAUCGGGACGAAAGGCCUUCUUGCGAAUAGUGAGAAGGAUUGACGGUACCGGAAUAGAAAGCCACGGCUAACUA